ACAAGAACUGGCAGCAGCAGCAGCAGCAGCAGCAGCAGCAGCAGCAGCAGCAACUGGAUUUGCUUUUUCACCAGAGGAUCCAGAUUUCCCUGUGGCCUCGCAAACAAAAAAGAAGGAAGACGGAGCAGCACAGUCAUCCCUUUGUGAAAAAGGCAUUCAGAGACGGGGUUUCACCGUGUUAGCCAGGAUGGUCUCGAUCUCCUGACCUCGCGAUCCGCCCGCCUCGGCCUCCCAAAGUGCUGGGAUUACAGGCGUGAGCCACCGCGCCCGGCCUCAGCAGGUUUUUCAAAAGUCAUGGCGUGUAAUUGUCCGAACAGUGAACUUCGGAGAUCCACCGGAGGGGCGAGGCCACAGCUCGACCGCGAGCACCUGAGCAUCCUGCACCGCCUGCGACGGCCGUCAGGGGGCGCGAUGCCGCCUCACAGAACCUCAAGCGGCGCCCGGGUUCCGGCACAGACGGCCUGCGGCUCCAGGGGGCGGAGCCGAGCCGUCUCCUCAGGACCUACGCAGGAGGCGCCGUCAUCCCUACAGGGACACCUGAGAGGGCCCAGCCUCCUCCUCCUCAGGACCCACUCGGGAGACGCCGCUGGCUCUCUAGGAACACCUGGGGACCGUGGCCAGGGACGACCCAGCCUCCUUCUCCUCAGCUCCUCAGGAACGACUGGGGAAGCUGUGGCUUCAUGGUCCCCGAGGCUGCCCGAGGAAAGGUAUUUCAGGACAGCCAGGAGGGGGCGCACAUCCGCCGAGAAACUGUGAGCAAGAGCGUCUGUGCUGAACCAUGGCGCCACCAGAGGGCGCGCGAUCCCGCCCCAACCAACUUCCCGCUGAGGUGCCAGAAGCAGCGAGGAGCUUCAGCUUCCUCAGGGCAGCACGAGGGUCGUGUUAACUUGGUGUUCUUCAUUGAUGAUGAUUAUUCCCCACCUUCUAAGAGACAAAGACCAACGAGCCACCACAGCCACCAGUCCCAGAACCCGCCAAUGCUGGGGAACGGAAAAUGAGGGAGUUCAACUCUGGCCCUCACAAUCCAGUGGAGGAGACGAAACUCAUCUGCCUCUGUCCCUCUGGGCACGCCUCAUGCCAGGUGCAUCUGUGGACAGGGGCCAUGCUCCUGGGCUUCCAAAGUUGGAGAAAGCUGCCAGGCUCAGGUCUGAAGGCCAGAAUUCUACAGUAAGUCCUACUGAGUCAAGGUGGGAGCAGGGUCGGUAGCUUCCGAGGCUCUGCGGGAGAAUCCGUUUCCUGGCCGUAGAGGUGGCCUGCACUCCUCAGCUUGUGCUGCCCGUCUCGAAUGACUGGAGUUUCCUGCUUCUGUCACUACACCUCCCACCCUCUCCAUCACCUGCUCUGCUCUUACAAGGAUCCGAAGAAAUGGAAUCAUCGUAUCGCUGAUCUACGUAAACAAACUGAAGAAUUGUCUGAAAGAAAAUAUGACAUGAACUUAUGAAUUCAACAGGUGAAGAUUUACAACUUGAUAAAUCAACUUUGUCAGCUCGAGCUGUAAAAGCCAAAGGUCCGGUGAUGAUCCCAUACCCUUUUUUCCAGUCUCAUGUUGAAGAUUUUUAUGUAGAAGGCCUUCCCAAAGGAAUUUUUUUUUUUUUUUUUUUUUUUGAGAUGGAGUUUUCACUCUUAUCGCCCAGGCUGGGGUGCAAUGGCGCAACCUUGCUGGUCACUGCAACCUCUGCCUCCUGGGUUCAAGAAAUUCUCCUGCCUUAGCCUCCCAAGUCACUGGGAUUACAGGUGCCCACCACCACACCAGGCUAAUUUUUGUAUUUUUAGUGGAGAUGCGGUUUCACCAUGUUGGCUGGGCCAGUCUCGAACUCCUGACGUCAAGUGAUCUUCCCGCCUCGACUCCUGAUAUCAAGUGAUCUUCCCGCCUCGGCCUCCCAGAGUGCUGAGAUUACAGACGUGAACCCAUGCCUGGCCAGGAAUUUUGUUUUUUAGGAAGGCUUUCUACUAAUGGAAUUCCUGGCCUUGAGAGGAUGUUACUUUAGAAGGAAAGGAUUUUUUUGUUAUUAAAAGAGCCACCUAAGCUGAAGAUUCCCUUGAGAACAAGUACUGUCCCUAGUUUCCCAGUGCUGGAAUAUAGAAAAUGGAUGGACAACUGGACCUACCAUGAAAGACUUCUGAAUCCAGGAAGAGAAACUGACUGGGCAACAUGUUAUUCAGGUACA
rnacentral:lncRNA from 1 species